rnacentral:rRNA from 1 species
GUGCCUAACACAUGCAAGUCGAACGAGAAAGUGGAGCAAUCCAUGAGUAAAGUGGCGACCGGGUGAGUAACACGUGACUAACCUACCUUCGAGUGGGGGAUAACCUAGGGAAACCUGGGCUAAUACCGCAUAACAUCUUUGGAGUGGAAACUCUGGAGAUCAAAGGAGCAAUUCGCUUGAAGAGGGGGUCGCGGCUGAUUAGCUAGUUGGCGGGGUAAUGGCCCACCAAGGCUUUGAUCGGUAGCCGGCCUGAGAGGGCGCACGGCCACACUGGAACUGAAACACGGUCCAG